rnacentral:rRNA from 1 species
GACGAACCGUGCGAACGUUAUUCGGAAUCACUGGGCUUAAAGCGCGUGUAGGCGGGCCGCCGCGUCGAACGCUGAAAUCCCCCGGCUCAACCGGGGAACCGGCGUCGAUACGGGCGGCCUCGAGGGGGGUAGGGGGGCCUGGAACUUCCGGUGGAGCGGUGAAAUGCGUUGAGAUCGGAAGGAACGCCCGUGGCGAAAGCGAGGCCCUGGACCCUUUCUGACGCUGAGACGCGAAAGCCAGGGGAGCGAACGGG